UGUACUCCAGUUAGAUUUGAAAGAGAAAGUGUAUUUAAUAAUGCGUAUAAUGUGUAUAAUGUGUAGUGUAUUUGUGUAUUUGUGCAUGUGUAGUGUAGUGUAUUUGUGUGUGUGUGUGCAAGUGCAAGUAAGAGAGAAUCAUAGGAAGGGAGAAGAAGGCCUGGAAGAUGUCCUGUGAUCGCGAGGUUCGUGUGAGUCUUCAUCAACAUAUCGUUACCCGUCUCUUGACCGCAGCCGGGCGUGAAAGCAGCCGUGCGUUUAUGCGGAACGCUUUUGUGUGCCAGUUGAAGCUGG